rnacentral:misc_RNA from 1 species
GUCGUCACGGUCACUUUGUG